GUUACCCAAACCUCAAAAACCCAUGAGAGAAACCAGAAAUGCAAGUUAUAAACAAAAGCAUCAAGUGAGCCCACAAUUCCAAUCAAACAGUGACUUUUUUUUGUUGAUUUCUAUUUUUCUAUAUGUAUAUUUUUGGGUUUUCUGUAUUUGAAUGCUAAAUCUAAAAUGAAAUUGAAAAUGUAAUCAAAAGUCAGAUUUGUUCUUGGUGAGUUUUUUG
rnacentral:lncRNA from 1 species